UAACAUAAUUCUAUAACAGGAAACAAAGU
rnacentral:piRNA from 1 species